rnacentral:rRNA from 1 species
AAUGAACGUUGGCGGCGUGGAUUAGGCAUGCAAGUCGAGCGAGUCUACUUAUAGCAAUAUGAGUAAGUCGAGCGGCGUAAGGGGCAGUAAUACCUGGGAACGUACCCUGAGGUCGGGGAUAGCUGCUGGAAACGGCGAGCAAUACCCGAUGAUCUUGGAAAAGCAAAGGCUUGCCGCCUUAGGAGCGGCCCAGGCGAUAUUAGCUAGUUGGUGGGGUAAUGGCCUACCAAGGCAUAGAUGUCUAGCGGGUGUGAGAGCAUGGCCCCCACCACUGGGACUGAGAUACUGCCCAGACACCUACGGGUGGCUGCAGUCGAGGAUCUUCGUCAAUGGGCGAAAGCCUGAACGAGCGACGCCGCGUGCGGGAUGAAGGCCCUUGGGUUGUAAACCGCUGUCAGGGGGGGAUGAAACCGUAAGGUUGACAGAGCCCCAGAGGAAGCACGGGCUAAGUUCGUGCCAGCAGCCGCGGUAAU